ensembl:lncRNA
GAGAACCACCUGAAGGAAUUUACGUAAAUCCAUUCUGCAAAUGCCACAACCUUAUGAGGCUGGCCACAAGCAAAAGAGGGAUUCUUGAAAUGAAGUGGAGGGAUUUAGACAUCAUCUCUGUAAUGGCAAUUAGUGUAAUGGAAUAUAAUGAGUAGAGCAGCAAACUGAAGCUAAGCAAGUUUGGGGCUGGGUUGUACUUCUGGGAAAACUAGGUUAAUGCUGGAGGAGGUCAUGACAGGUUGGUGUGUUCUUUGUGAAUCUGAAUGCCUCAAUGUGCAAUGAGGACAUUAUGUUUUGAAAAAAGUCUUUCAAUUCCAGUUUCUGUUGUAUGAAAGCUGUUUUUGAGUAGAGAAAAGCACAGUUCUAACUAUUUGUUCAAAGAUCAUAAUCUCUUCAAAACAGUAGCACCAUACUGUGACAACACUGCUCCUGUUAAAAUGGAGUGUCUUGUUAUACGGCCCUGAAAAAUCAGCAAACAGUGUUAGAACUCUUAAGAAAUAUUUCAGCUCAACCAAAACUGAAGUGAGCGUACACUACUGUUCAAAAGUUUGGGGUCAGUAAGAUUUUCAACGUUGAUAAUAAUAAGAAAUAUUUCUUGAGCACCAAAUCAAAUAAAGGAUCAUUUCUGAAGGAUCAUGUGACAAUGAAGAUUAUCACAGGAAAAUUGUUAUCACAAGAAAAAAGUACAUUUUAAAAAUUUUAAAAUAAAAAGCAAUUAUUUUUAACUUCACAACAACUAUGUUUUGAUCAGAUGUUGUGUAGUUACCAAACUCAAUGCUUUAUUUUUAGACACCAAGUUUAUCUGGCAAGAUUUGUAAAUAAUGGGGUCAAUUUUGGCAAAGAAACCUUCAGAAUGGCUUCAGACAGCCUUGAAUAUCAUCCAUAAGCCAUAUAGGCCACUUUUAAGAUUCUUUAUGAUGCUGGUAUUUUUAUUGUUUAUUUUUUUUAUUUUUUUGCAUACAUCCAAGUAUGGUCAUUAUGAACUGUCAUUAUAUUUCAAAAGCCGUGAAAUGAUUCUAAAAUGUAUUCUUUUCUGUUCCACAGGGAAAAAAUCUAAUAAAAAUUUGAUAACAGCAUAUGAGUUUGAAAUGGCACGAAGGCUUUUGCUGACAGUGUGCUUCCAUCCACUGGCUGGGCUGGUGCUGUGGUGCUAG